GAUCCUGGCUCAGAAUCAACGCUGGCGGCGUGCCUAACACAUGCAAGUCGAACGCGAAAGGGGAGCAAUCCCUGAGUAGAGUGGCAAACGGGUGAGUAACACGUGGGUGACCUGCCUUCGAGUGGGGGAUAACGUUCCGAAAGGAACGCUAAUACCGCAUGACAUCCUGCUUUUGGAAAAGCGGAGAUCAAAGCUGGGGAUUCGCAAGAACCUAGCGCUUGAAGAGGGGCCCGCGCCUGAUUAGCUAGUUGGUGAGGUAACGGCUCACCAAGGCUACGAUCAGUAUCCGGCCUGAGAGGGCGGACGGACACACUGGGACUGAGACACGGCCCAGACUCCUACGGGAGGCAGCAGUGGGGAAUUGUUCGCAAUGGGCGCAAGCCUGACGACGCAACGCCGCGUGGAGGAUGAAGAUUUUCGGAUCGUAAACUCCUGUCGAGUGGGAAGAAUAGCUUUGGGGCGAAUAUCCCCGAGGUCUGACGGUACCACUAAAGGAAGCCCCGGCUAACUCCGUGCCAGCAGCCGCGGUAAUACGGGGGGGGCAAGCGUUGUUCGGAAUUACUGGGCGUAAAGGGCUCGUAGGCGGCCAACUAAGUCAGACGUGAAAUCCCCAGGCUCAACCUGGGAACUGCGUCUGAUACUGGAUGGCUUGAAUUCGGGAGAGGGAUGCAGAAUUCCAGGUGUAGCGGU
rnacentral:rRNA from 1 species